rnacentral:rRNA from 1 species
AGUGAACGCUGGCGGUAGGCCUAACACAUGCAAGUCGAACGGCAGCACAGUAAGAGCUUGCUCUUACGGGUGGCGAGUGGCGGACGGGUGAGGAAUACAUCGGAAUCUACUUUUUCGUGGGGGUUAACGUAGGGAAACUUACGCUAAUACCGCAUACGACCUACGGGUGAAAGCAUGGGAUCUUCGGACCUUGCGCGAUUGAAUGAGCCGCUGUCGGAUUAGCUAGUUGGCGGGGUAAAGGCCCACCAAGGCGGCGAUCCGUAGCUGGUCUGAGAGGAUGAUCGGCCACAUUGGAACGGAGACACGGUCCAGACUCCUACGGGAGGCAGCAGUGGGGAAUAUUGGACAAUGGGCGCAAGCCUGAUCCAGCCAUACCGCGUGGGUGAAGAAGGCCUUCGGGUUGUAAAGCCCUUUUGUUGGGAAAGAAAAGCAGCAGGUUAAUACCCCGCUGUUCUGACGGUACCCAAAGAAUAAGCACCGGCUAACUUCGUG